AUAUCAAAUUUUCGUACAAUUCGAAUAUCGAGUGCGUCGAGCCGAAAUCACGCGUGGGGUAUUGUCGGACGUUUGUGAAAAUUAGAAGUGGGGGUUAGGUUGGCGGGGCAUGUUGUUGCAGUGGCGAAGUAUCGGGAGUUGAAUUUGUGCGGAGGAAUAGGAAGUGAAGGAUCGUUCGUGACGCGAUCAUCUUUCGUGACAUUGUAUCGGAUGACUAAGAACUAACGUGGACACAUGAAGAUAAAUCGACGCGGGUGUGAAUGAUCGACGAUACACGCGAGUGCUUAAACGACUUUGUGGUGGGAGCAGAGAAAGAGGACGCCUGAAAAAAACAUAUUUCCAACUGGCUGGAUCACAGGGUGGCAGACUAAUUAGAGGUGUAAUUUCGAUUUUGCUGCCGAGUCGACAAGAAUCCUGUGUUGGGGCACCGGGGAUCCCUGACCGCACGAGAAAACGGCGGCCAUUUCGCUCGAUCGCCGGAGGAUUAUCCUGUCCUGUCAUCCAUCGGGGAUCCGAUUUUAAUGAAAGCUUUUCCUGACCACGUCGAUCGUUCUCCCGUGGCGGUCCCGAUUGACAUCGACACGAUCACGCCUCUGUCGAAAUAAUGCGAGCGAAGCGCAUCGAGGAGGAGACGCGCUUCCGACUGCUGAGGUACACGCACCGCGCCAAGUGUCGCAAGAUUAUUUAGUCGGGCGUCGAGCGAACGGCCGACACCGUGACGAGACUGACGGGAGGAAGAGAGAGACUGACAAUCCCGCGACUACACAACCCUGGCUGUGAUCCCAUAACCCCAAUCGAUCGCUCGAACCCGGAGACGCACAUCACCGUUCGAAGAAGACAUCAUUCUUGGUCGUCGUUCCGAUAGAUCGCGUGUGUGCAUCGAAACGAUCGUGGUCGUGAUUUGUUAAACAUAGUUCGAGUGUUAAUUACAAAAAUCGAACGUUUUCGAUAACGUGGGACAAGAUUUCGGGGGGCAUCUACUAAUAUAUUUCGUAUGUCUACCGAAACCUUAAGUGGAUCAACUGAAAC